AACGAACGCUGGCGGCAGGCCUAACACAUGCAAGUCGAACGAGACCUUCGGGUAGCUUGGCUCACGGGUGCGUAACGCGUGGCAACCUGCCCUUAGCUUGGGAAUAACCCCCCGGAAGGGGUUCUCAUACCGGAACAGUUCCUCAUACCACAUAUUGUUCGCCUUUGAAGGGGCCGGCCUUUCGUUACCUGGUUGGUAGGGUAAAACCCUACCAGGGCGACGAGACAUAGCUGGUCUGAGAGGAUGAUCAGACACACUGACACUGAGAAGCGGCCCAGACUAUUGCGGGAGGCAGCAGUGGGGAAUGUUGGAAUGUCGGGUGAAGGCUGAUGCAGUAAUGCCGCGUGAGUGAUGACGGCCGUGGGGUUGUAAAGCUCUUUUACCCCGGAUGAUAAUGACAGUACCGGGAGAAGAAGCUCCGGCUAACUCCGUG
rnacentral:rRNA from 1 species